AGAACGCGCGCGUGCGCGGUGCGGGGCUGCGCGCGCUUCCCGCCGCUACGGCGCUGAGGCGAUUCCCGCCGGGCGGGGCCGCUGAGGGGACACGGCAACGCCUCGGCCCCGCCGGGCCCUCAGACCAGCGCCCUCAGCCCCGCCGGGCCCUCAGCCCAGCCCCACGGGAUCCUCACCACAGACCCCCUGCAUCCUCAGCCCAGCCGCACUGGAUCCUCACCACGCCGCCUCAGCCCUGCCAGAACCGUGUGUAGGAGUUCCUGUGUCACCCGCUCCAGGUGACGCUGCCUAAGCAGGGGUUUGAACUCGAUCUUCUCCAGAGGUCCCUUCCGACCCCAGCUAUUCUGUGUGUAGCCGUGAAUUCCCGUUCCGGAGCACUCCAGCCUGUAUCUCACCUCUUGCUGCGUGCUCCUCUCACCCUCUGCGCUAUCCCCAGUGCUGCCUUCCCUCUGCCUCAGCCUCUUCACCCCCAUCCCUCAUUAGCCGUGUAAUUAUUGCCUGCCGUAAUUACACCCGUCCCAGUGCUGAGGUCUGGCUGCGAGCUGGGAAUUUUCUGUCACAACAUGCUCACAAGCUCUCACAUGUGGGAAGGAUCCCUUUCCUGAUGAUGCUUUGCUGUUUCAGGCAGUUUUUACCUGUGCCUCCACUGCUCAGGGUGAGGAUUAUCGAGGCAAGGCAGAGCUGAGGUGUGACCCACACUUGUAUCUUCACUGCCACAGUAAUCUCAGCUGUGCAGAUACACCGAGAGGUAAAAGCUAAGCUUUUCCUGUGUACCUCUUGCUACACUUUUGCUCCAAGUUUACUUUAUUUAGCUAGACCCAUGGAUAUUCUUUCUUUUUCCCCUUACUUCAAAACCCACUGCUUUACCUAACCUUCAGUUUAAGGUAGAAUUCCUCAAUUCCCUACCUAUUCUUAUUUUCUGUCAUAAGCAUGCUUAGAGUCACAGAAUCAUUAAAAUUAGAAAAAAAAAAACGUUAAGGUCACUGAGUCCAGCCUUUCCCACGGCACUGCAAAAGGCACCACUAAACCAUGUUCUCAAUGCCACAUCCACGCAUUUUGAACAGCUCCAGAGUGACUCCUGUACACCACAGCAGUUUCAUCUGCUGUCUCUUGUCCGAGCAGUUUUCUCAUUUUUGUUUUCUGCACAUAAUCUUUACCCAUCUCCUGCUAACCUCUGUCCCCAUCUGUGUUUUUAUGAUUUGAACACCAUAUGGGCACUUACCCAUUUAUUUGGGCCCUUUUAUCCCUGCUGUGAUGGGAAACCCCUCUGCGAGCACAUUUAGAAGCAUUUACACCAUUCAAAGCACUGCAGAAGUGUCUUAUUUCUGCACUAAUGCCUGCUUCUUGUCCAAGCUUUUCCCAACUCUUUCCCCUGUAGGUGACUACCUUAAGUUUACUUCACCUGAGAAUGUCACCUUCUCAAGGCUUGUGAGCAAAGCCUGCCCUGUUCAGUCCCCUCCACUCCAGAGGAUCCGUGUGAUGUGGAGCCCAGCAGCCCUGGGAGUGCUGCAGACAGAUGGCUCCACUUUGCUGAACAUUCCUGUCUUGCCCGUGAGUGUGAAGCAAGCCCUGUGCAGCUGCAGAAAAAUGUGUUCUUUGGCUUUUUCCCCCUGCGGUGCCUCUCUGGCAGGAGGGGAAGGUACAGCAGCAGGGAAGAAGAGGGAAUGUGCGCCUUUGCUACUGAGCUUUAAAAUACCAAGAAGGAAAAGAUGAAAUCAGACCAGCAGCUCUCCUUUUGCCCACUGCAAGGAUGUGCCCCAGCACCCGUGUUGGCUGAGCCAUGGAGCUGCAAGCAGAGGAGAAAAGCUGUUGUCUCCUUCUCUGGUUUUUACCUCAAAAUCCAUCCCAGAGGGGAAGAGCAGACCCUUCACAUUCCUUACAGCCACACUGCAGGAUCACCACCCACUGCUCCGUCUCCUCUGCUCCACUUUUUGGACAGGUUUGUGUCAUUUGUCCCUGUUCCUGUUCCCACGGGAAUGAAGCCGUGGGAAGCUCAGAGCCAGCACAGAGGAAGGAACAGGGAAAUCCAUGGCCAGGGAAUCAGGCUGCAGCAGGGAGCUGCUGCCAGAGUUAUUUGUGACAGUGUCAAGCACUAUCACUGUCAGAAAUACUUUUAAUAAGUAUUAAACACUUUUACUAAGCACUGUUAAUAAGUACUAAGCCUUCUCAAUACCUUUCCUGCCUGCAGGUGCCAUGGACUAGUGAGAUUCCAACUGUUUUUUCCCCCAAAAUAAUUCCAUUUGAUUCCACCUUGCUGUCCCUUAGAGCUCUUCUGAGCCCCCCACAGCUUUGGGCUCUGUGCUGCUUGCAGACACGUGCCUUUUGUCCCAAGGAGUCACUGCACAGUUUGCCAGCCAAGGGUUUUACUGUUUCCACCCAGUGGCCAGAGCAAUGCCACAGUGUUCUUCUCCUACAAACACAGAACCUGUUGUGUUUCUGCUUAGAUACAGCUUUGAAUUAGGCUUUAAAUCUGCUCACGGAAACUCCAUUUCAGGGGUUAUUUUGUUGACUUUCUUACCCUACACCAAUUCAUAUUUUCCCCACUUUUCCACAUGUUUUAUUUAAAGUGAACACUUUUGAUUCAAUAAGCACCCUUCUGUGAGGCUUAACAGCUAUCUGCUACAUUAUUACCUUUUUUUAUUACAUGUGUCAAACUGUGCACCUGCUGAAAUCAUCUGCUGCUGACACAUUCUCGAUCCUGCUGUGUCUUUGUUGCCAAAUGCUGUUUCAACAUUGACCUGCAGCUCCAAACUGCAGCUCUGAAUACAUUCAGGCCUCGCCUCUGCUGUUGUCACCCCAACUUUUUGUUGAUUUUCUGCUUUUCCACUUUUACCUCAGCUUUUACAUUUAUAUUAGGAAGCCUUUUAUCCCCUUCUGACCUGCAGUCCACCUGGCCCAGGGAAAAUUUGAGCCUUUUUUCCAGCCCAGCCCAUGUCUAGUCACCACCAGCCUGGGAAGCUCUUCCCUGUCACUCUGCUCUUCCAUCCCUAAAACUCCAUGUUCUGCUGCUGCUUCUUCAGCUUCUUGUGCUUUGAAAAACCAAUCCAAUAUCAUAUAUACACAUAAUCCAGUAUUCCCUGAGAAGCUCUUUACCUUCAGAUCCCAUCAUCCCUGAAUAUGUAUCCAAGGGGUUGCUUUGGUUCUGUGCCCAGCCAUGAGGGGAUGGUCACUGCUCUCUUCAGCUUGACCCUGUGUAUCUGCACAGGGAGUGAUGCCAAGCACAGCAGUCCCACCACUGAACCAAACAUUUAAUUCGUGUGGGUCUCUCACUUGUUGAGCCACACACAAACUUCCAGAGGCUUUCUGCCCACAGCAAGCUAAGCAUUACACAAGGAGCAGUUCCGUGCUGGUGUUGCCCUUCCUGCAGACACACACAUAACUCUUGUCUUUAUGCCUGAGCUGCUUUUUUAGUUCUUACUUCCACUUUACUUAUUAAGGGAUUUGUUUCCCUUUUACAUGUCCUGUAGAAAUAGGGACUUUUAGUCCUUUAAAUGGCAUUUUCCACCUUGUUGCUGAUUCACUUCACCAAAGACAUCUCUAAUGACCACCAGAACAACUCACAAUUCUCUUUCAAUUCGUCUUUACCUUUUUUCAGCUUCAGAGUCUGUCAUCCCUGCAGCUCCCUUAAUUCUAUGCAAAAAUCACUCCUUUUCUUCUUUCAACCCCAAAAUGCAUAUUCUGUGCCUCUUCAUGGCUUCCAAGAUAUCACUUUUGAUUUCUUUAUUCCUUGUCAGCUUCCUAAUAAUUAGUCUUCAUACUUUUCCCAGUGUCACUCUAUACCAUCUCCCAGCUGAUCUCCCUAGCUGCCCCUCUCACACCCUUAAGGUUUUACUUUCUUAUAUUUUCAAACAUUUUCCCCUUUCAAAGGGGUACCCCAUUCCUCUAUGCAUUUUCAAGCCAAACAACUCACUUUUUACAUCAGAUCUAGCAAGUGAAUAAAAAUACACUUUAAUACACCAAAGUUGGUUUCGUUCUGAAGCAGGUGUAGAACAGAAACACCACUGCAGCCAACAGGAAUUUGGAGCAGGAAAAUGCUAUGGACUGAGCAGCCUCCACAGGCUGCUGCUUUUCUAGAAACACCUUAAUUUGAAAUAGAUCCCGAGCACUAACGAGGUGGGUGCAGCCAUCACUGGAGGACCAGGGGCUGGAAGUUGUGAUUCCUUCUCUACACCACUUUUGGCAUUACAGUACUGACUGAUUUUACCCAAAGCAGGCACAUAAAGUGACACCUCCACUAAGCAAGGAGCAGCUGAAGACCACCAACUCCACACUGCACAGGGACAGCUCUCCCAAAGCCACAUACCCCCACAGGUGAGACCUGAACACAGCAGCUGCAUCUGCCAAGACGACCUUUGCAGCUUCUUUCCAGCUGUUCUCCAAAACCCUGUGGUAAACCACUUCUAACAGGGCUCUGCUCCCCUCACUGCUGCUUUGUACCCUGGGAGCUUAGUAAAACUCUGCCUUAUGGUAACAUCUGUCAUUGCUUCUUGCAGGAGGCUGCAACAGGACAGCCAAGAGCUUCACUGCUCUCUCCCCUCUCUCAGUAACACCAACAUUUCCCAACCAACAGCAUAUAUUGCCUUCCCCAUGCCUACUCCUCUUUCCCAUUUGCAGCCACAGCAUAUCCAUCCCUGCAGCUGGGCCAGCAACUUGGACAAAUUCCCCUAUGGAAAGGACUGAAUGGAGUGGGAGCUGCUUUUAUUCCUGCUGCCGUUUCAGCACAAUUUAGCAGCUGGAAACAAGAAAGAGAAGCUGGUGCCACAUGACAAAGCUUUCCACAGUCAGCAUCCCUACAGCAGCACUGAAAGAAGCAGGAGUUAUUUCAGCAAACAGCAGAUCCACAAUACUUCACCAAAGGUGGCAAAUGGAGCCCCUUGAAAAAUACAAGGGUAGAAAACCUGAGGUUUCCUUGGAUAUUGUGAUUUAGCCACGCUGCUGGAAGCUGAGUUAAUCAAUCUCUUGCUGCUGUUCUUUGCCCAUUGCUGGUUUUCCUCCAAGGGCUGCUUGCAGGUUGUCUAUCUGAAGAAAGCCAAGCAGGAUCCUCUGGGCUGAAACCUCCUGGUCCCCAAGCUCCACCCUACAGUUGUUGCAGGUUGCACCUGGCCCCAGGCACAGCAAACCUGGAGUUUCUGUCAGCGUGUGGGGCCUUGUGCAAACCUCAGGGCUGGCACCUCAUGAAAAGCCAGUGGUGUGUGAAGAGCUCAGGCUCCUGCUGGUGCUGCUUGGCUUCAAACACUGCUCAGCUGGCAGCUUCCAGGCCAACACCUUCCAUAGAGCAGAAAGGCCAAGUUCCAGCUCCCAGCCUGACUGGGAGAAGCUGGAGCUCGGAGCACUUGCCAGCCCAAACACCUCCCAGUGGACUCACCCCCAGGUAGAGCCCAGCAUUCCUGGCCCAACUCCAACCAGGCAGCAUCUCACCCUCACAUACGACCUGCAGGCACAGCCAGCUCUCUACAGGUGGUUCAGUGCCUCAGGGCCAGGGCUGUUGGCUCUAAGGGCACAAAAGCAUUCUGGGGAGGUCUGAUUUUGAGCUUCAUGCCCCCAGAGUUAAACCCUCUAGAAUCUGUGAAAGCAUACAGCAUACAGGCCUAGCUAACAGCUUUUCUGCUCUGCCAGGACACUUCUGACAAAGCAGCUAGGGGUGUCAGCAACUCAUUGUGGGACCAAAUGCAGCAGAACAAUUCCAGCCACCCUCUGGCAAUGAGAUGCCAACAUCUGCAAUUGGCUUUGAAUUUACAGAAAGCUUAGCAAGUUAAGGGGACUUUUGAGAGACCCUGUUUUUCCUUUAUCAGUAAAAACAACAUAUAGGGUUGAAACAAAAGCUCUGUGGGUCACAGCAACAACUGAUCUAAGUUACUACUGGACUAAACUUGCCUUGUGCACACAAAAAACCAUCCCUGCAGAGGAAGCCCUUCUCCUGAGCCUCUCCUGCCACGUGGGCUACCACGUCCUGCACCAGGGAGGGCUGAUUCCAGGCAAAAAACCCCAGGAGCUGGACUCCAUGCUGCUGAUGGGUGCCUUCCAACUCAGCAUGUUCUAGGAUUCUAUGAAAAGACAUUUCCAUACACCAAGAUCUGCUCCUGGACCUGAGGCUUUUUUGGAAAAUAAGGCAAGACCUGAACAUGUUGACACAAGCAGAGAGCACAGCAUCCAGGAUCAGUGUAUUUCCUGACCUCAUUCCCAGAAAUGGCUGAUCCUGUUCUGAAAACCCUUUCCUAGAAAUAAACCAGCCUUAGGCAGACACCUGGCUUGAAAAUGUGCUGCUUGGUGGCUUCAGGUUAGGGGACAUUCUCAGCAAUAAAGAGGGAUGUAAGCAAUGCAUCUGCUCCUUGCCUGUGCUUCUGACAGUGCCCCAGCCUUGGGAAAAGAAGAGUUCCCAGCAGCAGAGAUGGUUCCAAUGCCACUCUUCUGUGCUGAGCUGUUAACCCCCUGCCACAGUCAGGAGCCUGCACACAAGAUGUGUUUCAAUAGGAUCAAGACUAGGGAAAAAAACCCCCUCAGCAUAACUUGCAGUACUCUUGGUGUAACCCUGCUGCCCUCCCUGCUGAGGUGUUGCUGUAAAUCAGUGUUGGGCCACUGACCACAGCUCAUCUCUCCUCACACAAAAUGAGGCUCCUGCAAAUCACAUUCCAUGGGAAUCUGUUUUAAUUAAUACUUUCCUUUUCUAUUCAUAUACCUUGCAGGGUUUUUGUAUUUUAAUACCCUUCACAAGAAACCGGUUCAGAUCUUUCAUGAGCUGUAUCCUGAGGAGCCACAACCACCUGCAAGCCUGUGCUGAUCUAGAAGGAAACUGGGAAGCAGCUGGGUGCAGUAAAUGCAUGGCACAGAACACAAGAGGAGCAGAGGAAGGAGUCAGGAGUUCUGCUCCUUGCAGUGACACUGUUGGGAAGCUGAAGCUUCAGGUGAUGCACCCACAGCUGGAGACCCCAAGGCCUUGUGCACAAACUGUUCACAGCAUCCAGUGUGCAGCUGAACUGGUUUAACUUCAGAGAAGCCCAAACCUGCCAGUCUGCAAAUCCAGCUUCAGGUAAUUCUGAAAAACCCUUGGUGAAAAUCUCUGAGAAGUCCCUCCCUGGCCUUUGCAGGACACUAACAGGGCAAGUUCUCACCCCCUGGAACGUCAUUAAAGCUCUAACAAAAAGGGGAAAGAUUCUCUCAGCUCACCUCUACCCACCUGCUGGCAAUCCCCAUUCCCUCCAGCCAGUGCUUUUCCAACUCUUUCAGCCAGAAGGGUCAAGCUCCCCAGAGAGAUUUCCCAGCCCUGACACACUGGAUUCCCAGGGCUGUUCAAGGGCUCUGCAGCAAGUCUGUCCUUUCCAAUCCAAGGCAAUGAGAGAGAAAUCAGUCCUUGCAGGCUCUGCUGUUGGACACAGGUUCCCAGCAGGCUCUGACACUGCCCACCCUGAGAGGAAUUCCAUCAUUUGCCCACAGCAACUUGGCAAUAUUUACCCUUAUUUACAUACAAACUGGCAUCCAUUUAAUGUAACUAUUUAACUGCUACAAACCACCAUGUACCGCUCAAAAAAUGCCUUUUGGAAGGAGAGCACGCCCACGACCUUCUGCAGAGGUGUAACAGACACCCCUGGAGCCCUGCUGGGUGGGGGUUCUGUGGGGACACACCUUUUGGAGACCCUGAGAGCCCAUCCAAACCUCUGGACCCAACGGCGAGGCCGAGGCAUCACUGGAUGUGGUACAUGCAGAUACAUCAGCAUACAGGAACGUGAGAAUAUUUUUUCUUAUUUUUUUCUUUUUUUUUUUAACAAAACAUCAGAGAAAAGUGUUUUAUUGUUACUAAAAAAAAAAAUAACCAAACAAUGCUCUAGUGUUUUAGGCCAUGGAUUCUCUAGCUCAGAUUCAUGGGGUGGAACACGUUAACAGGGAAAGUGUCUCAUGGACCUCUCCCCUCUGGCCACAACCAGGCACCUCCUCCCUUCCCCGUGGUGAUCAAAUCACAUCCUCAGCCACGUGAAGAACGCCGUGACAGAUUUCAGCGCUACUCCUUUGCCGUUCUGCUCCGCCGGGUCCUUGCUGCUUUCCCACUUGUAGAAGGCAUCCUCUGAAAUGACCUCCUCGUCAUACAGGCAAUCAAAGAACAUCCGCAACAAAUCUGCAGUAAUGGAAUAAAGGCAGGGAACAUCUGUCAGCCCUGGCUGCAGAUAAGGGGAUUAACGUGACCUCUUGGCACGGGAGAUGGAGAGACAAGGAAAACGCAGGGCUCUCACUCAGUUAUUGCUUCUGGCUGCUCACACUCAGAGGUUUGCCCUCCCUUCUGUGUGGCUGCUCGCAGGAGCAAACAAAAGAAGAGCCGGCCUCUGGCCAAGCAUUUGGGAACUUGAGCUGCUCUAAAAAUCUGGGAUCUGGACAAGCUGAACCCACCCACACCAGCUUCUCUCACCUGCUACCUACAAAGCUGGAGAAACAGGUCUCCUAGAGGAAGCAGGUGACUGGAGAUGUGUGUCUGGGAGCAGCAGGGACAGGCUUGUCCUCCCUGUGCUUCACAAGGUGGUGCUGAAAUCAUCUACCCCAAACUGGAGACACUUCACCCCAUAUUCCAACUGUGCCUAAGAAUGGGAUGGAAGAGGACAAACAGGAUGAUCAAAGAAAUGAUGUGAACUCACCUGUUCCAUGAGAAAGGUAUGUACAUCCUCCCCUUCGGGCAAGUAGUCCUUCCAACUGAGGCCAGACUCCCUCCAUAAGGCUCCCACUUUCUUAUGGCUCUGAAACACAAGCAGUGUGUCCAUUUAGAGCUGAGGGACACCCGGGGAGCUCCCAGGGCCGGAAUGGUGCAGCUGUGCCAGGAGGAAUAAAGGACAGUUCAGCCACCCAACAAACACCUGGCAAUGAGUGAGAACAUCUGGAGACCCCGUGCAGGAACCACAUGUGCAAUCCCCCCAGGAAUGCACAUCUUGUCAGGUGGGCAGCGCCUGUGACGGGCAAUGGGCAAGGCAGGAGUGACACGGGGGGGUCGCAGCGAGCUCCGAGGUCACCCGGGGCAGUGACACGGGGGACAGGGCACCUUCCCACGCCUGGCUCACACCCUUCUGACCUGCUCCACCACUCACACUCCCUUGCCUUGACAGCAAGGCCCUGGCAAACUGCUCCUUUGAGAAAACUCCUCAUUUACACGGCUGUUUUCUGCACAGAGACCAAGCCUCAAAUUCAGGCACAUGAUCCCAAAUUCUCUCUUCAGUUCCUAGAGUUUAUGCAAACCUUGAGAGCAGUGCCCCUGAGCACAGACAAUUCAGCCUUUUGCAGCCUCUAAUGUCACACUGACCUUUGAGCCUCCUGCCUCAGAGAGCACAGUUCUGACACACAGUUCUGACAAGAAUAAAAAUGCUGAGCACAACCAGCUCUUUCCACCCAAAUGCUUUGCCAAAGUUUCACCUUACAGCGCCUGCUCACACGAGAUCACUGAGUAGCCUAAGUCAAGCUGAGAAAUGAUGCCUGAUUUUAAGUUUACAAAGCAGAUUACGACUUUCAGUUUACAAUACAAGUUGUUAAGAGCCAACUGUGCAUAAUUCCUGCUCUGAUCCACCAAGAUCUGGAUUAGAUGGCUGAUGUUACCCUGAAAUACCCAAGUCCAUGUCUAGGCCUGGACAAGAUCUGAUCAGAAAGCUGUGGCAGAAACAGAGACCCAAGGCUGUGCUUCCACACCCAGAGCACAGCAGCUUUUCUUUCACAGAAUAGUUUAAAAAAAAAAGGAAGUUGACUGUCCAAACAAGCACAAGACUAAAAUAAAUGAACAAAAAGUCACUCUUUGCACUGUUGGACUGAAAUGCUCCUGGAACAUUCAACAUUACUUGAAUGCAUGCUUGAAAAAAUUAAAAAAAAAAAGGCAAGUGAGGGAUUUUACAGGGUUGGAAAUAGACACUAUCCAAAGUGCAGGAUUUAACUGGAUUAAAAAAAAAAAGGACAAAAA